rnacentral:rRNA from 1 species
UACAGAGGUGCCGAGCGUUAGGCGGAAUUACUGGGCGUAAAGCGUGCGCAGGCGGCUUUGCAAGACAGAUGUGAAAUCCCCGGGCUUAACCUGGGAACUGCAUUUGUGACUGCAUGGCUGGAGUGCGGCAGAGGGGGAUGGAAUUCCGCGUGUAGCAGUGAAAUGCGUAGAUAUGCGGAGGAACACCGAUGGCGAAGGCAAUCCCCUGGGCCUGCACUGACGCUCAUGCACGAAAGCGUGGGGAGCAAACAGG